GAUGAAGAACGCAGCGAAAUGCGAUAAGUAAUGUGAAUUGCAGAAUUCAGUGAAUCAUCGAAUCUUUGAACGCACAUUGCGCCCGCCAGUAUUCUGGCGGGCAUGCCUGUUCGAGCGUCAUUACAACCCUCAGGCCCCGGGGCCUGGCGUUGGGGAUCGGCGGAAGCCCCCUGCGGGCACAACGCCGUCCCCCAAAUACAGUGGCGGUCCCGCCGCAGCUUCCAUUGCGUAGUAGCUAACACCUCGCAACUGGAGAGCGGCGCGGCCACGCCGUAAAACACCCAACUUCUGAAUGUUGACCUCGAAUCAGGUAGGAAUACCCGCUGAACUUAAGCAUAUCAAUAAGCGGAGGA
rnacentral:misc_RNA from 1 species